CAGCUGAGUGCAGGCUAAAGCUACACCCCCUGCUUCCACCUGGGCAGAAAUGGAGCUGCACAUCAGCACAGGAAAUCCCUGUUUUGCAAACUGCAGCUCUCCCAGUAACAGGGUUGACAUUACCCAGCGGUCCAAACGCAAACAGCUGGUAUUUAAAGCUGUCUCGAGGCUGAUCACUUGGAAUAAGCCUGACAACAAAAUAGAUGUGCUGUUAACUGCUGUA